GUGCUUUUCUUAAUCUCAGAUCAAUUUGAGAAAAGCCAAAGAAAUCAAGGGAUUUUCUUCUCUCUCUUUUUCUUUCAUCGUUGUCAUUGAUUUCUCUAGCCAUAGUUGUAAUGGGGAGGUCUCCUUGUUGUGAAGAACAUGGUGUGAAGAAGGGUCCAUGUACCCCAGAAGAAGAUCAAAGGCUUGUGGACUACAUUGAGAAGCAUAGUCAUGGAAGUUGGAGAGCACUCCCGAAGCUCGUGGACCUGCAUAGGUGUGGAAAAUUCUCCAGUGAAGAAGAGCAUAUCAUUGUCAACCUUCAUUCGGUUCUUGGAAAUAAGUUUUAGGCAUGGAUGAAUGGGAGCUAUAGAUUGAUGGAUUUCAUUUAUUUAUUUAUUUAUUUUUGAAACUAUUCGAUUUAUUGUUGUAAAUAUUAUUCGUGGCAUCUCGAUGCAUGUGAAAGGGCCACAUAGGCAUGUAUUUUUUUUUUAGGAAAACAAUCACUAGGCAUAAUUGACUUCCUAAGAGGAAUGUGAAAUCAAGUGGGCCUUGACCAAAAGUCAGGUGGGCCUUGACCAAAAGGGUCAAUGAUAAGGUCCAUCAUUUUAUGAGUUGGAGAGGCAGAACUCAUAAAAUGGGACUAACUGUGAGUCGGGCAUCUAUUUUGUGUCAUUUCCUCCUUUUUUUAUUAUAAACUAAAAUUUUACAAUCUAAUGAGCCUGUACAUCUGAAACUACAGGCAACAUGAAGCUGCCAUAGGCAAUGGAAAAGAGAGCUUAACUAGUAAGGCAUAGGGAAAAAAAAAAAAACCAAAUCACAAUUAUAGAUAGGAGCCUAAAUGCUAAUUGAAGUGUUAGUAAAGUUAAAUCAGUCCCACAUGGAUUAAGAGCCAAAAAUUCAAAUACCACAACCUACAGUACAAACUGUCGGUAAAUCCCACAUGAAGUGGC